rnacentral:rRNA from 1 species
GAAUAUUGGACAAUGGGGGAAACCCUGAUCCAGCGACGCCGCGUGUGUGAAGAAGGCCUGCGGGUUGUAAAGCACUUUCGAUGGGAACGAAAUGUGCCGGGCUAAUACCCCGGUAAGCUGACGUUACUCAAUGAAGAAGCACCGGCUCACUCUGUGCCAGCAGCCGCGGUAAACCGGAGGGUGCGAGCGGUAAUCGGAAUUACUGGGCGUAAAGCGAACGUAGGUGGCGACGUAAGGCGGGUGUGAAAUCCCCGGGCUCAACCUGGGAACCGCAUUCGAGACUGCAUUGCUGGAGUACGGAAGAGGAGGGCGGAAUUCCCGGUGUAGCGGUGAAAUGCGUAGAUAUCGGGAGGAACAUCAGUGGCGAAGGCGGCCCUCUGGUCCAGUACUGACACUCAAGUGCGAAAGCGUGGGGAGCAAACAGG